rnacentral:tRNA from 2 species
UCCUCAGUAGCUCAGUGGUAGAGCGGUCGGCUGUUAACUGAUUGGACGUAGGUUCGAAUCCUACUUGGGGAG